rnacentral:lncRNA from 10 species
AGAGACAAGAGUGCUGGAAAGGUGGAGAGGCCGCAGGAGGAGGGAAGAGGAGGGACUAGCUCUCUAAAGACCACAGUGGCCAGGCGCGGUGGCUCACACCUGUAAUCUCAGCAUUUUGGAAGGCCGAGGCGGGAGGAUGGCUUGAGUCCAGGAGUUCAAGACCAGCCUGGGCAACAUAGACAGACACCAUCUCUACAAAAAAUACAAAAGUUAACCGGGCAUCAUGGCACAGGCCUGUGGUUCCAACUACUUGGGAGGCUGAGGCUAAGAUGGGAGGAUCCCUUGAGCCCUGUAGGUCAACGCUGCAGUCAGACUGGGGGAUGCGGAGGGCCCCAGGAGCAUCUCACAGUUGAGCCCCUCCUCCCCACGUGCUCACGGGAGCCCAUGCCUUCGGGUUUCUGAGCAGCCUGGCACCCUAGAGGCAGUCUUCAUUUGUUUAUUCACUCUCCUAUUGACGGAUGCUUGGGUGGCGUCCAAGUUCCUGCUCUCAGGCUCAAAGGCCUGGGAAGAUUCCUGAACACGUCUCAUUGUGGACACGUGUUUACAUCUAGGGGUACAUAGCCAAAAGUGGGCCUGCGGGCUGGCGGGAUGGGUCUGAGUUCCACAGUGAUUUCUGCGCUGGGUCACGCCUACAUCCCGGAAGCCAGGCCUCCUCCUCCAAUCCCAAAGCCAAGGGCAUCCCUUCUCUGGGCAGCCCCCACC